CCUACGGGAGGCUGCAGUGGGGGAUAUUGCACAAUGGGGGAAACCCUGAUGCAGCGACGCCGCGUGGGCGAAGAAGUAUUUCGGUAUGUAAAGCCCUAUCAGCAGGGAAGAAGAAAUGACGGUACCUUAGUAAGAAGCACCGGCUAAAUACGUGCCAGCAGCCGCGGUAAUACGUAUGGUGCAAGCGUUAUCCGGAUUUACUGGGUGUAAAGGGAGCGCAGGCGGAACGGCAAGCAAGUUGUGAAAGCCCGCGGCUCAACCGAGGAACUGCAUUGGGAACUACCGGGCUGGAGUGCCGGAGAGGAAGGUGGAAUUCCUAGUGUAGCGGUGAAAUGCGUAGAUAUUAGGAGGAACACCAGUGGCGAAGGCGACCUACUGGACGGUAACUGACGCUGAGGCUCGAAAGCGUGGGGAGCAAACAGGAUUAGAUACCCCUGUAGUC
rnacentral:rRNA from 1 species